rnacentral:sRNA from 2 species
GGAGAAUGAAGCUACACGGUUGUAGCACCGGUUUGCUAAACCGGCUGUGCCCGAAAGGGCAUCAGGUUCGACCCCUGCUUUCUCCGC